UCUUCAUUAGUAUAGUGGUAAGUAUUCCUGCCUAUCACACAGAUGACUGGGGCUUAAUUCCCCAAUGGGGAG
rnacentral:tRNA from 1 species